rnacentral:rRNA from 1 species
CCUACGGGAGACAGCAGUGAGGAAUAUUGGUCAAUGGGCGGGAGCCUGAACCAGCCAAGUCGCGUGAGGGAAGACGGUCCUACGGAUUGUCAACCUCUUUUGCCGGGGAGCAACGGUGUCCUUGCGAGGGCCCAAUGAGAGUCCCCAGAGAAAAAGCAUCGGUUAACUCCGUGCCAGCAGCCGCGGUAAUACGGAGGAUGCGAGCGUUAUCCGGAUUUAUUGGGUUUAAGGGGUGCGUAGGCGGGCUGUUAAGUCAGCGGUAAAAUGUCGGGGCUCAACCCCGGCCUGCCGUUGAAACUGGCGGCCUCGAGUGGGCGAGAGGUAUGCGGAAGGCGUGGUGUAGCGGUGAAAUGCAUAGAUAUCACGCAGAACUCCGAUUGCGAAGGCAGCAUACCGGCGCCCUACUGACGCUGAGGCACGAAAGCGUGGGUAUCGAACAGGAUUAGAUACCCUGGUAGUC